AUGAUCUCUCAGGCUCAGCUCCUCUGGCUGUUUGCACUCUGGAUCCGUGGUUCUAGUGCGGACAUUGUGAUGACUCAGACUCCAGAGUCCUUGGUGGUGCCUCCAGGAGACACGGCCACCAUCAAGUGCAAAGCCAGCUCCAGUGUCACAGGCUCUUAUGUCUACGUAAACUGGUACCAACAGAAAUCUGGACAAGCUCCUAAACGUCUCAUCUAUUAUGCUUCCAGCCGUGCCACUGGAGUCUCAGACCGGUUCAGUGGCAGUGGCUCUGGCACUGACUUCACUCUUACCAUCAGCCGAGUUGAAGCUGAAGAUGCUGGCGAUUAUUAUUGCCAACAAACCUAUAGCACUCCUCUCACAGUGAUUCAGACCCAUACAAAAACCUCUUUCUAA